rnacentral:lncRNA from 1 species
UUUCUUUCGUGUGUGCCUUUGCCUCAUUUUCUCUUUUUGUUCACAAGAGUGGUCUGUGUCUUGUCUUAGACAUAUCUCUCAUUUUUCAUUUUGUUGCUAUUUCUCUUUGCUCUCCUAGAUGUGGCUCUUCUUUCACGCUUUAUUUCAUGUCUCCUUUUUGGGUCACAUGCUGUGUGCUUUUUGUCCUUUUCUUGUUCUGUCUACCUCUCCUUUCUCUGCCUACCUCUCUUUUCUCUUUGUGAACUGUGAUUAUUUGUUACCCCUUCCCCUUCUCGUUCGUUUUAAAUUUCACCUUUUUUCUGAGUCUGGCCUCCUUUCUGCUGUUUCUACUUUUUAUCUCACAUUUCUCAUUUCUGCAUUUCCUUUCUGCCUCUCUUGGGCUAUUCUCUCUCUCCUCCCCUGCGUGCCUCAGCAUCUCUUGCUGUUUGUGAUUUUCUAUUUCAGUAUUAAUCUCUGUUGGCUUGUAUUUGUUCUCUGCUUCUUCCCUUUCUACUCACCUUUGAGUAUUUCAGCCUCUUCAUGAAUCUAUCUCCCUCUCUUUGAUUUCAUGUAAUCUCUCCUUAAAUAUUUCUUUGCAUAUGUGGGCAAGUGUACGUGUGUGUGUGUCAUGUGUGGCAGAGGGGCUUCCUAACCCCUGCCUGAUAGGUGCAGAACGUCGGCUAUCAGAGCAAGCAUUGUGGAGCGGUUCCUUAUGCCAGGCUGCCAUGUGAGAUGAUCCAAGACCAAAACAAGGCCCUAGACUGCAGUAAAACCCAGAACUCAAGUAGGGCAGAAGGUGGAAGGCUCAUAUGGAUAGAAGGCCCAAAGUAUAAGACAGAUGGUUUGAGACUUGAGACCCGAGGACUAAGAUGGAAAGCCCAUGUUCCAAGAUAGAUAGAAGCCUCAGGCCUGAAACCAACAAAAGCCUCAAGAGCCAAGAAAACAGAGGGUGGCCUGAAUUGGACCGAAGGCCUGAGUUGGAUGGAAGUCUCAAGGCUUGAGUUAGAAGUCUUAAGACCUGGGACAGGACACAUGGAAGGCCUAAGAACUGAGACUUGUGACACAAGGCCAACGACCUAAGAUUAGCCCAGGGUUGUAGCUGGAAGACCUACAACCCAAGGAUGGAAGGCCCCUGUCACAAAGCCUACCUAGAUGGAUAGAGGACCCAAGCGAAAAAGGUAUCUCAAGACUAACGGCCGGAAUCUGGAGGCCCAUGACCCAGAACCCAGGAAGGAUAGAAGCUUGAAGACCUGGGGAAAUCCCAAGAUGAGAACCCUAAACCCUACCUCUUUUCUAUUGUUUACACUUCUUACUCUUAGAUAUUUCCAGUUCUCCUGUUUAUCUUUAAGCCUGAUUCUUUUGAGAUGUACUUUUUGAUGUUGCCGGUUACCUUUAGAUUGACAGUAUUAUGCCUGGGCCAGUCUUGAGCCAGCUUUAAAUCACAGCUUUUACCUAUUUGUUA